rnacentral:lncRNA from 1 species
UGGGAACGCCGAAAUUUUAGACUGGCGUUCAGUCGAUUUAGAUUCUUCCUAACUCGGAAAAGGACCAUCGAGAGCCUUGAUGGAAGCGGCAUAUCCCUCACCCCCAGGGAGGAGCAGACCAGGGCUGGGAAAAGGGCUUCUCUCCCUUUCUGUGGCUCUGAUUAUAGAUGCUGGACUUGGAAGAUGAGGACGGGCUGGAGUCCUGCCCUGAGCUGGGAGUUGG